CAGUCGCCGCGGUAAUACAGAGGGUGCAAGCGUUAAUCGGAAUUACUGGGCGUAAAGCGCGCGUAGGUGGUUUGUUAAGUUGGAUGUGAAAUCCCCGGGCUCAACCUGGGAACUGCAUCCAAAACUGGCAAGCUAGAGUAUGGUAGAGGGUGGUGGAAUUUCCUGUGUAGCGGUGAAAUGCGUAGAUAUAGGAAGGAACACCAGUGGCGAAGGCGACCACCUGGACUGAUACUGACACUGAGGUGCGAAAGCGUGGGGAGCAAACAGGAUUAGAGACCCCAGUAGUCCCUGUCUCUUAUAC
rnacentral:rRNA from 1 species